rnacentral:rRNA from 1 species
UACGAAGGGGGCGAGCGUUGUUCGGAUUUACUGGGCGUAAAGGGCGCGCAGGCGGCGGACCAAGUCAGGCGUGAAAGCCCCGGGCUUAACCUGGGAGGUGCGUCUGGGACUGGUAUGUUAGAGUUCGGGAGAGGAGAGUGGAAUUCCCAGUGUAGAGGUGAAAUUCGUAGAUAUUGGGAAGAACACCGGUGGCGAAGGCGGCUCUCUGGACCGAGACUGACGCUGAGGCGCGAAAGCGUGGGGAGCAAACAGG